rnacentral:rRNA from 1 species
UCGGGAAUAUUGCGCAAUGGAGGAAACUCUGACGCAGUGACGCCGCGUGCAGGAAGAAGGUUUUCGGAUUGUAAACUGCUUUAGACAGGGAAGAAACAAAUGACGGUACCUGUAGAAUAAGCUCCGGCUAACUACGUGCC